rnacentral:rRNA from 1 species
CCGACGGUGAGGGUGAAAUCCGUUGAUAUCGUGCGGAACACCAAAAGCGAAGGCAGAUAGCUGGGGCAUUCUUGACGCUGAGGAACGAAAGCGUGGGGAGCAAAAAGGAUUAGAUACCCUUUGUAGUCCACGCCCUAAACGAUGGACACUGGUUGCUUGAAGUGUCGACCCUUCAAGUGGCGAAGCUAACGCGUUAAGUGUCCCGCCUGGGAAGUACGGCCGCAAGGCUAAAACUCAAAGGAAUAGACGGGGGCUCACACAAGCGGUGGAUCAUGUGGCUUAAUUCGAUAACAAACGAGUAACCUUACCUGGCUAAGACGCCCGACGACGUCUCCGUGAAAGCGGAGUUUCCCACAAGGACGGCGGGACAGGUGCUGCAUGGUUGUCGUCAGUUCGUACUGUGAAGCAUCCUGUUAAGUCAGGCAACGAGCGAGACCCACGCCCACAGUUGCCAGCGAUCCCUCCGGGGAGGUGGGUACUCUGUGGGGACCGCCGCUGCUAAAGCGGAGGAAGGAAUGGGCAACGGUAGGUCAGUAUGCCCCGAAUCCCCCGGGCUACACGCGGGCUACAAUGGUCGGCACAAUGGGUAUCGACCCCGAGAGGGGUAGGCAAUCCCCUAAAGCCGAUCGUAGUUCGGAUUGAGGGCUGAAACUCGCCCUCAUGAAGCUGGAAUCCGUAGUAAUCGCGUUUCAACAGAACGCGGUGAAUACGUCCCUGCUCCUUGCACACACCGCCCGU